AGCGAACGCUGGCGGCAGGCCUAACACAUGCAAGUCGAAUGAACUCUUCGGAGUUAGUGGCGGACGGGUGAGUAACACGUGGGAACGUGCCUUUAGGUUCGGAAUAACUCAGGGAAACUUGUGCUAAUACCGAAUGUGCCCUUCGGGGGAAAGAUUUAUCGCCUUUAGAGCGGCCCGCGUCUGAUUAGCUAGUUGGUGAGGUAAAGGCUCACCAAGGCGACGAUCAGUAGCUGGUCUGAGAGGAUGAUCAGCCACGUUGGGACUGAGACACGGCCCAAACUCCUACGGGAGGCAGCAGUGGGGAAUCUUGCGCAAUGGGCGAAAGCCUGACGCAGCCAUGCCGCGUGAAUGAUGAAGGUCUUAGGAUUGUAAAAUUCUUUCACCGGGGACGAUAAUGACGGUACCCGGAGAAGAAGCCCCGGCUAACUUCGUGCCAGCCGCCGCAGUAA
rnacentral:rRNA from 1 species